CGAGAGGGAAGAGGAUAAAAGAACGGAAAGAAGAUAGAGAAGAUAGGCCUCAUUCGGGCAAGCUUGAUCGUGAGGAUAAAUGUAUGGAGCGUGACAGAGAAGACCGCAAGGAACGACGUAAUAUCCAAGAAACCGAGGAAGAACCUCGUGAAAGGAAAGGCGAGCGUAAAAGGGUAGACAAAGAUCGGGUGCCAGAGGAUAUUUGAUGGAUGUCAAACGUCGAAAGGAGGACGAACGAGAAAAAGUAAGAUCCCCCAAGGCAUGGAAACGGAAGUCCCCCUGAUGGAAACGCUGAUAGACGAGGACACAACAGACUCUCUCGCUCUCGUAGCGCACCUCGCUUUCACGAGAAGCAUUGGAUCGCUCAUUUCACCCGCGCAGAUAGAACAGAACGAGCUCCUUAUUAGAUUAUUAGAUUAUUAUUAUCCUUAUUAUUAUUAUUAGAUAAUAUUCCUUCAA